UACGGAGGAUCCAAGCGUUGUCCGGAUUUAUUGGGUUUAAAGGGUGCGUAGGCGGAUCUUUAAGUCAGUGGUGAAAGCCUGCAGCUCAACUGUAGAACAGCCAUUGAAACUGAAGAUCUUGAAUAUGGUUAAAGUAGGCGGAAUGUAUCAUGUAGCGGUGAAAUGCUUAGAUAUGAUACAGAACACCGAUAGCGAAGGCAGCUUGCUGAACCAUUAUUGACGCUGAGGCACGAAAGCGUGGGGAGCGAACAGG
rnacentral:rRNA from 1 species